rnacentral:rRNA from 1 species
GUGGCGCACGGCUCAGUAACACGUAGUCAACAUGCCCAGAGGACGUGGAUAACCUCGGGAAACUGAGUCUAAACCGCGAUAAGUGAGGAUUUCUGGAAUGGUUCCUGACUAAAAUCUAUAUGGCCUUUGGAUUGGACUGCGUCCGAUCAGGCUGUUGGUGAGGUAAUGGCCCACCAAACCUGUAACCGGUACGGGCUCUGAGAGGAGGAGCCCGGAGAUGGGUACUGAGAAAAGGACCCAGGCCCUAUGGGGCGCAGCAGGCGCGAAACCUCUGCAAUAGGCGAAAGCCUGACAGGGUUAUUCUGAGUGACUUUCGCUAAGAAAGUCUUUUGACACCUCUAAAAAUGGUGUAGAAUAAGGGGUGGGCAAGUCUGGUGUCAGCCGCCGCGGUAAUACCAGCACCCCGAGUGGUCGGGACGAUUAUUGGGCCUAAAGCAUCCGUAGCCGGUUUUACAAGUCCUCUGUUAAAUCCAGCUGCUUAACAGAUGGGCUGCGGAGGAUACUAUAAGACUAGGAGGCAGGAGAGGCAAGCGGUACUCAGUGGGUAGGGGUAAAAUCCGUUGAUCCAUUGAAGACCACCAGUGGCGAAGGCGGCUUGCCAGAAUGCGCUCGACGGUGAGGGAUGAAAGCUGGGGGAGCAAACCGGAUUAGAUACCCGGGUAGUCCCAGCUGUAAACGAUGCAGACU